rnacentral:rRNA from 1 species
GAUGAACGCUGGCGGCGUGCCUAAUACAUGCAAGUCGAACGCUGGAAAUCUAGCUUGCUCGAUUGAAGGAGUGGCGAACGGGUGAGUAAUACAUAAGCAACCUACCCACGAAGACUGGGAUAAUCUCUGGAAACGGGGACUAAUACCGGAUAGGUAAUCGGAAGGCAUCUUCUGAUUAUUAAAGGUUAAAAACACUGGUGGAUGGGCUUAUGGCGCAUUAGUUAGUUGGUGAGGUAACGGCCCACCAAGACGAUGAUGCGUAGCCGGCCUGAGGGGGUGAACGGCCACAUUGGGACUGAGACACGGCCCAGACUCCUACGGGAGGCAGCAGUAGGGAAUUUUCGGCAUUGGGGGAAACCCUGACCGAGCAACGCCGCGUGAGUGAUGACGGCCUUCGGGUUGUAAAGCUCUGUUGUAAGGGAAGAACGGUAGAUAGAGAAUAUCUAAAUGACGGUACCUUACCAGAAAGCCACGGCUAACUACGUG